UGCCCAACUCUUUUUUUAAAUGAGAUUCUGUUAUCCAUCUGAAAAGGCAGGAAGAAGCACUUUGUGACUUUUGGAAUUGGGAGGGUAUGUCUGUUAUGUGUUUUUGAGCACUUGCAUACAAAGGUAUGGAGAGUUGUGUGAGGACUUGAAACAGACUGUGGAAUUGGAAUACCAUCUGUGACAGAAUGUACAACAGCAGAAGUGGAAGCUGUUGUACUGACUGCACAGUAAAGGAUCCAAAUGGCAAAUUUAUGUUCAGGGUUACUUAAGCUUGAAUAGAAGUAUAAGGUCUCUUUCUUAGCUCAUCUGAGUCAGUAGGGUCCUUCCCUUGACUUUAAUGAGCAUCUAUGUUGAGCUGAAAUUCGAAUCUUGAAAUGAAACCUUGGCAUCCAGGUAACUGAGAUUUUAAAAGCAUGAAUUUGCAGUUUGUCAAAACACCAAGGAGAUACUGCUGAUGAAACAGCACCUAUGCUAUGUACUAAAUCAUAAUGUACUUAGUGAAACACAGAUGUCUCUAGAAGGAAAAUGCCUAUUGAAAACCAGACCCAUGUCAAACUAGGGUCAUCCAUUUGCACAGGUUUAUUAACAGUCACCUACACCUGAACAGCGACAGGCUCUCUCAGAACAAGGCAGGACUCAAAAUGUUUGGAGCAAGUGCAACUGAAGGAGCGUGCAGUCAAAUCAGCCCUCACUGGAAAAGCAGCAUCUGUGUCUAUAGAAUAAUUGAAGGAGCUGGAUGGAAAGGAAACAAAAUGAUGAGAGGAGGAGAUGCCACGGCUGAAUUGAAACUGAUGAGAAGUCACAUAAGAAAAAAAAUAAAGAAUAGCACUGAUGUCAGGUGUCACAAAAACAAAACAAAGAAGAAAUUACGAACAAGCAGGUGCCAUGAGAAAACAGCACAUGUGGAGGGUUGCAGAGUCUGGACACCCAGGAUGUCUUCUGCUGCUACUGCCAUUAUUUAGAAGAUGAAAAGCUCAAUCUGAUGUUUUGUAGGGCUGCUCUGAUGCACAAAGUAACAGAGAAAGCAGAAGAUACAUGAAGAAAAAAGGAUCCAGUAACUCUACACACAAGACGAUAGCUUUGUGGUUUUUAAGUGCCAUGGGCCUGCCUUGCGUGUGACUGACUACCUCUCCUCACAACCCCAUGCAAUUCACCUCCUGUUCUUCUUCCUGAAAUGCUCAGCUCUCUGACACUUGUACUUCCUAUAACCCCAGCCACAGCUUUUGGAUACCUACCACUGAAUUUUAUGAACUGUUCAGGAAACUGUUUUAGUGGAUGACAAAUGCAGGUCUGGGCUCAAAAGUGUAAUAUUGCAAAAUGACGGGCAGGAUCAAGAUUGUUUGUUUCAGCUGGCUUAAAUAAAACUGCUGAGGGCAGAGAAAAGGUAUUAAAGCGUUGUGAUGAAGUUCUGUGUUUUUCUCUCUUUCUGGAGCAACGCAUGACUCUGUAGACAUUAAAUAUGCUUUUGUUCCUCUUUAAGUACAGAAACAAUCUCUGGGAAAAGAACUCUUUCUAAAGACUGAAGUGAAAGCAAAAAAUAUUGCGGCUUUGACAUUUAUUGGACAAGGCUGCUGUUUCACAGGUGUAUAUGGGU